rnacentral:rRNA from 1 species
AGAGGUUGAUUCUGGCUCAGGAUGAACGCUGGCGGCGUGCCUAACACAUGCAAGUCGAACGGAGCUGCUUUGAUGAAGUUUUCGGAUGGAUUUAAAACAGCUUAGUGGCGGACGGGUGAGUAACGCGUGGGUAACCUGCCUCACACUGGGGGAUAACAGUUAGAAAUAGCUGCUAAUACCGCAUAAGCGCACGGUUCCGCAUGGAACAGUGUGAAAAACUCCGGUGGUGUGAGAUGGACCCGCGUCUGAUUAGCCAGUUGGCGGGGUAACGGCCCACCAAAGCGACGAUCAGUAGCCGGCCUGAGAGGGUGAACGGCCACAUUGGGACUGAGACACGGCCCAAACUCCUACGGGAGGCAGCAGUGGGGAAUAUUGCACAAUGGGGGAAACCCUGAUGCAGCGACGCCGCGUGAGUGAAGAAGUAUUUCGGUAUGUAAAGCUCUAUCAGCAGGGAAGAAAGUGACGGUACCUGAAUAAGAAGCCCCGGCUAACUACGUGCCAGCAGCCGCGGUAAUACGUAGGGGGCAAGCGUUAUCCGGAUUUACUGGGUGUAAAGGGAGCGUAGACGGCAAGGCAAGUCUGAUGUGAAAGCCCGGGGCUCAACCCCGGGACUGCAUUUGGAACUGCUGAGCUAGAGUGUCGGAGAGGCAAGUGGAAUUCCUAGUGUAGCGGUGAAAUGCGUAGAUAUUAGGAGGAACACCAGUGGCGAAGGCGGCUUGCUGGACGAUGACUGACGUUGAGGCUCGAAAGCGUGGGGAGCAAACAGGAUUAGAUACCCUGGUAGUCCACGCCGUAAACG